UAAGUUGGUAGUGAAAGCGUGGGGCUCAACCCCAUAAACAUUAUCAAACUAACAAAGCUAGAGGAUGAGAGAGGUUAUUGGAAUUCCCAGUGUAGGAGUGAAAUCCGUAGAUAUUGGGAGGAACACCGAUGGCGUAGGCAGAUAACUGGCUCAUUCCUGACACUAAGGCACGAAAGCGUGGGUAGCAAACGGAUUAGAUACCCCGGUAGUCCACGCCGUAAACUAUGGAUACUA
rnacentral:rRNA from 1 species